rnacentral:tRNA from 1 species
GGCGGAAUGGCCGAGCGGUCUAAGGCGCCAGACUAAGGUAGUGAGCAAUCUGGUCCGAAAGGGCGCGAGUUCGAAUCUCGCUUCCGUCA